CCUACGGGGGGCAGCAGUAGGGAAUCUUCCACAAUGGGCGAAAGCCUGAUGGAGCAACGCCGCGUGGGUGAAGAAGGUCUUCGGAUCGUAAAACCCUGUUGUUAGAGAAGAAAGUGCGUGAGAGUAACUGUUCACGUUUCGACGGUAUCUAACCAGAAAGCCACGGCUAACUACGUGCCAGCAGCCGCGGUAAUACGUAGGUGGCAAGCUUUAUCCGGAUUUAUUGGGCGUAAAGGGAACGCAGGCGGUUUUUUAAGUCGGAUGUGAAAGCCUUGGGCUUAACCGGAGUAGUGCAUUGGAAACUGGGAGACUUGAGUGCAGAAGAGGAGAGUGGAACGCCAUGUGUAGCGGUGAAAUGCGUAGAUAUAUGGAAGAACACCAGUGGCGAAAGCGGCUUUCUGGUCUGUAACUGACGCUGAGGUGCGAAAGCGUGGGUAGCAAACAGGAUGAGAUACCCUUGUAGUC
rnacentral:rRNA from 1 species